UGACAUGGAUGCGGUGAAAAGGGAACACUUUUACGCUGCUGUAAGUCAAAGAUGGUGUCGAAAAUGGUGAAAUCAAGAACUAGAAUUAUGAAGAUUUAAAAACAGAAGAAACACCUCCCAGAGUUGCAAGUGGUCACCUGUCCCAGAGAGCUGGUGAGAUGAGAUGGAGAGGCGUCAGCUGAGUUUUAUGGUGAGAAAGUGGAGCUCGGAGAUGUCAUUGGCCCAGGUCACACAGAUGGUGGAGACCAGUGUGGAGCCCGGGAGUGGGCUGAGCAGAGUGCCUGGACUUUGAGCUUCCAUCAGACCCUGCCCGAGAUAUUCACCUGUCCUGGCCGCCUGGUGACCCUGGUGUGCUAACUUGGUACUUACCUUGCUCUGCGGAGCCCCCUGGGCCUCCUAAACACCAGGUGGGCACCUUCAGGCAGCCCCAUACUGACCUGAGAAGCCCAGGUAUCGCUGGCCAACCAACCCUACUCACAGACAGAAGCAGUUCUCUGUCUUUUGGCUUUAACAGAGCUGCUUCAUUUCUCCUCCCCACAAAGCCUGGACUUUGUUCUGGGGGGUCUCCCUGUUUGCAUGGGAGCUUUUUCACUCAGUGCUCAAUCUGAUCUCUGCCACCCCCACCCACACCUCUGACUGGGUGGACCUUUGUGACUGCCUUGACCAGUAGAGUAUGGCAGAAGACGCUCUGUAACUUCCAAGGCUAGAUCUAGAAAAUGCCAUGCACUUCUGCCUUGCUCUCCUGGGACGUCCACUCUUAGAACCCAGCUGCUGUGCUGAGAAGAACUCACAGAAAGACCACGUGGAGUGGAGCAGACGGGUCAGUGUCCCAGGUGACAGCCCGUGUCAACCUCAGACCUGCACGUGAGGAUGCCACCAGAGGGUUCCUGCCGCCACCGUCAAGUCACCCCAGCCUUCAUCUUCCAGCCGGCGCCCCAGGCAUUAUGGGCAGAGGUAAACUGUCUCCAUGAUGCCCUUUCCAAAUUUCCGACCCGCAGAAUCCAUGAUUAUAAUAAAAUGGCUGUUUUAUG